GCCCGGGUGGCGGAAUGGCAGACGCGACUGACUCAAACUCAGUUGUCCGAAAGGGCGUGCGGGUUCGAAUCCCGCUCCGGGCA
rnacentral:tRNA from 1 species